UACGAAGGGGGCUAGCGUUGUUCGGAAUUACUGGGCGUAAAGCGUGCGCAGGCGGCUUCCCAAGUCAGUGGUGAAAGCCCGGAGCUCAACUCCGGAAUUGCCAUUGAAACUGUGGAGCUCGAGAACGAGAGAGGUGAGUGGAAUUCCCAGUGUAGAGGUGAAAUUCGUAGAUAUUGGGAAGAACACCAGUGGCGAAGGCGGCUCACUGGCUCGUAACUGACGCUCAUGCACGACAGCGUGGGGAGCAAACAGG
rnacentral:rRNA from 1 species